CUGCACGCGGCCUCCGUGGUUCCAGAUAAGCGGUCACAUUGAAGAUAUCUAGAUACGAAUGACGACAGGAUCUUUGUUCUUCAACAUUCACGGUCUGGUAGACGAAGCCUUCGAAUGGAACUUCGAUAAUCUACUGCAUCUGUCUUUCAACCUAUGUGGACGCAAGAUGAGCUUCCGACAGUGACGUGGACCACAAUCACCACCUCACGGAGUAUCCUUCACAUUGUUUUCUUAGCAAUAUUGACUAAUCCUUUGCUUCAUUUUGCA